rnacentral:rRNA from 1 species
GACGAACGCUGGCGGCGUGCUUAACACAUGCAAGUCGAGCGGUAAGGCCCUUUCGGGGGUACACGAGCGGCGAACGGGUGAGUAACACGUGGGUGACCUGCCCUCAGCUCUGGGAUAAGCCUGGGAAACCGGGUCUAAUACUGGAUAUGACUCCAUGACGCAUGUUGUGGGGUGGAAAGCCUUGUGCGGCUGAGGAUGAGCCCGCGGCCUAUCAGCUUGUUGGUGGGGUGAUGGCCUACCAAGGCGACGACGGGUAGCCGGCCUGAGAGGGCGACCGGCCACACUGGGACUGAGACACGGCCCAGACUCCUACGGGAGGCAGCAGUGGGGAAUCUUGCGCAAUGGGCGAAAAGCCUGACGCAGCGACGCCGCGUGAGGGAUGACGGCCU